UACGUAGGGUGCGAGCGUUAAUCGGAAUUACUGGGCGUAAAGCGUGCGUAGGCGGUUCUCCAAGUCCGUUGUGAAAGCCCCGGGCUCAACCUGGGAAUGGCAGUGGAAACUAGGGGACUGGAAUCUGGCAGAGGGGGGUGGAAUGCCGCGUGUAGCAGUGAAAUGCUUAGAGAUGCGGCGGAACACCGAUGGCGAAGGCAGCCCCCUGGGCUGAGAUUGACGCUCAGGCACGAAAGCGUGGGGAGCAAACAGG
rnacentral:rRNA from 1 species